GUGGCUUCGGCAGCACAUAUACUAAAAUUGGAACGAUACAGAGAAGAUUAGCACGGCCCCUGCGCAAGGAUGACACGCAAAUUCGAGGAGUGGCUUCCCAACAGCAU